rnacentral:tRNA from 4 species
UCCUAAAUAGCUCAGUCGGUUAGAGCAUCUGACUGUUAAUCAGAGGGUCGCUGGUUCGAGUCCAGCUUUGGGAG